GGGGUUGUAGCUCAGUAGUAGAGCACUUGCCUAGCAUGUGUGAAGCACUGGGUUCCAUCCUCAGCAACACUU
rnacentral:tRNA from 1 species